UACAUAGGGGGCAAGCGUUGUCCGGAAUCAUUGGGCGUAAAGAGCGUGUAGGCGGCCUGGUAAGUCCGCUGUGAAAGUCCAGGGCUCAACCCUGGAAUGCCGGUGGAAACUGUCAGGCUCGAGUCCGGAAGAGGCGAGUGGAAUUCCUGGUGUAGCGGUGAAAUGCGCAGAUAUCAGGAGGAACACCAAUGGCGAAGGCAGCUCGCUGGGACGGUACUGACGCUGAGACGCGAAAGCGUGGGGAGCAAACAGG
rnacentral:rRNA from 1 species